GAUGAACGCUAGCGGCAGGCUUAAUACAUGCAAGUCGAGGGGCAGCAUGGUGUAGCAAUACACUGAUGGCGACCGGCAAACGGGUGCGGAACACGUACAGAACCUUCCUUCGAGCGGGGAAUAGCCCAGAGAAAUUUGGAUUAAUACCCCAUAGUAUAUUGGAGUGGCAUCACUUUAGUAUUAAAGAUUUAUCACUUGAAGAUGGCUGUGCGGCUGAUUAGGUAGUUGGCGGGGUAACGGCCCACCAAGCCUGCGAUCAGUAACUGGUGUGAGAGCACGACCAGUCACACGGGCACUGAGACACGGGCCCGACUCCUACGGGAGGCAGCAGUAAGGAAUAUUGGUCAAUGGACGAAAGUCUGAACCAGCCAUGCCGCGUGGAGGAUGAAGGUCCUCUGGAUUGUAAACUUCUUUAUAUGGGACGAAAAAAGGGCUUUCUAGCUCGUCUGACGGUACCAUAUGAAUAAGCACCGGCUAAACUCCGUGCCAGCAGCCGCGGUAA
rnacentral:rRNA from 1 species